rnacentral:rRNA from 1 species
GACGAACGCUGGCGGCACGCUUAACACAUGCAAGUCGAACGGAGAUAAUUUGAGUUUACUUAGAUUAUCUUAGUGGCGGACGGGUGAGUAACACGUGAGCAACCUACCUUUGAGAGAGGGAUAGCUUCUGGAAACGGAUGGUAAUACCUCAUAACGUAGUUUUACCGCAUGAUAGGACUACCAAAGAUUUAUCACUCAAAGAUGGGCUCGCGUCUGAUUAGCUAGAUGGUGAGGUAACGGCUCACCAUGGCGACGAUCAGUAGCCGGACUGAGAGGUUGAACGGCCACAUUGGGACUGAGACACGGCCCAGACUCCUACGGGAGGCAGCAGUGGGGAAUAUUGCACAAUGGGGGAAACCCGUGAUGCAGCGAUGCCGCGUGGAGGAAGAAGGUUUUCGGAUUGUAAACUCCUGUCUUAAAGGACGAUAAUGACGGUACUUUAGGAGGAAGCUCCGGCUAACUACGUG